rnacentral:rRNA from 1 species
AGAGUUUGAUCAUGGCUCAGAUUGAACGCUGGCGGCAGGCCUAACACAUGCAAGUCGAACGGUAACAGGAAGCAGCUUGCUGCUUUGCUGACGAGUGGCGGACGGGUGAGUAAUGUCUGGGAAACUGCCUGAUGGAGGGGGAUAACUACUGGAAACGGUGGCUAAUACCGCAUAACGUCGCAAGACCAAAGAGGGGGACCUUCGGGCCUCUUGCCAUCAGAUGUGCCCAGAUGGGAUUAGCUUGUUGGUGAGGUAACGGCUCACCAAGGCGACGAUCCCUAGCUGGUCUGAGAGGAUGACCAGCCACACUGGAACUGAGACACGGUCCAGACUCCUACGGGAGGCAGCAGUGGGGAAUAUUGCACAAUGGGCGCAAGCCUGAUGCAGCCAUGCCGCGUGUAUGAAGAAGGCCUUCGGGUUGUAAAGUACUUUCAGCGGGGAGGAAGGUGUUGUGGUUAAUAACCGCAGCAAUUGACGUUACCCGCAGAAGAAGCACCGGCUAACUCCGUGCCAGCAGCCGCGGUAAUACGGAGGGUGCAAGCGUUAAUCGGAAUUACUGGGCGUAAAGCGCACGCAGGCGGUCUGUCAAGUCGGAUGUGAAAUCCCCGGGCUCAACCUGGGAACUGCAUUCGAAACUGGCAGGCUUGAGUCUUGUAGAGGGGGGUAGAAUUCCAGGUGUAGCGGUGAAAUGCGUAGAGAUCUGGAGGAAUACCGGUGGCGAAGGCGGCCCCCUGGACAAAGACUGACGCUCAGGUGCGAAAGCGUGGGGAGCAAACAGGAUUAGAUACCCUGGUAGUCCACGCCGUAAACGAUGUCUACUUGGAGGUUGUGCCCUUGAGGCGUGGCUUCCGGAGCUAACGCGUUAAGUAGACCGCCUGGGGAGUACGGCCGCAAGGUUAAAACUCAAAUGAAUUGACGGGGGCCCGCACAAGCGGUGGAGCAUGUGGUUUAAUUCGAUGCAACGCGAAGAACCUUACCUGGUCUUGACAUCCACAGAACUUUCCAGAGAUGGACUGGUGCCUUCGGGAACUGUGAGACAGGUGCUGCAUGGCUGUCGUCAGCUCGUGUUGUGAAAUGUUGGGUUAAGUCCCGCAACGAGCGCAACCCUUAUCCUUUGUUGCCAGCGGUCAGGCCGGGAACUCAAAGGAGACUGCCAGUGAUAAACUGGAGGAAGGUGGGGAUGACGUCAAGUCAUCAUGGCCCUUACGACCAGGGCUACACACGUGCUACAAUGGCGCAUACAAAGAGAAGCGACCUCGCGAGAGCAAGCGGACCUCAUAAAGUGCGUCGUAGUCCGGAUUGGAGUCUGCAACUCGACUCCAUGAAGUCGGAAUCGCUAGUAAUCGUGGAUCAGAAUGCCACGGUGAAUACGUUCCCGGGCCUUGUACACACCGCCCGUCACACCAUGGGAGUGGGUUGCAAAAGAAGUAGGUAGCUUAACCUUCGGGAGGGCGCUUACCACUUUGUGAUUCAUGACUGGGGUGAAGUCGUAACAAGGUAACCGUAGGGGAACCUGCGGUUG